rnacentral:rRNA from 1 species
GGAUAACCUGCCCUUGGGACCGGCAUAACCCCGGGAAACUGGGGAUAAUUCCGGAUAACGCAUAUGUGCUGGAAUGCUUUAUGCGUAAAAUGGAUUCGUCUGCCCAAGGAUGGGUCUGCGGCCUAUCAGGUAGUAGUGGGUGUAAUGUACCUACUAGCCAGCGACGGGUACGGGUUGUGAGAGCAAGAGCCCGGAGAUGGAUUCUGAGACAUGAAUCCAGGCCCUACGGGGCGCAGCAGGCGCGAAAACUUUACAAUGCGGGAAACCGCGAUAAGGGAACACCGAGUGCCAGCAUCCUAUGUUGGCUGUCCACAUGUGUAAAUAACAUGUGUUAGCAAGGGCCGGGCAAGACCGGUGCCAGCCGCCGCGGUAACACCGGCGGCCCGAGUGGUGGCCACUAUUAUUGGGUCUAAAGGGUCCGUAGCCGGUUUGGUCAGUCUUCCGGGAAAUCUGACGGCUUAACCGUUAGGCUUCCGGGGGAUACUGCCAGACUUGGGACCGGGAGAGGUAAGAGGUACUACAGGGGUAGGAGUGAAAUCUUGUAAUCCCUGUGGGACCACCUGUGGCGAAGGCGUCUUACCAGAACGGGUUCGACGGUGAGGGACGAAAGCUGGGGGCACGAACCGGAUUAGAUACCCGGGUAGUCCCAGCCGUAAACGAUGCUCGCUAGGUGUCAGGCAUGGCGCGACCGUGUCUGGUGCCGCAGGGAAGCCGUGAAGCGAGCCACCUGGGAAGUACGGCCGCAAGGCUGAAACUUAA